ensembl:snRNA U6 U6 spliceosomal RNA
GUGCUCGCUUCAGCAGCAUAUAUACUAAAAUUGGAAUGAUGCAGAGAAGAUUAGCAUGAUGUCUGUGCAAGGAUGAAAUACAAAUUCAUGAAGCAUUCCAUAUUUUU